UACGUAGGGUGCAAGCGUUAAUCGGAAUUACUGGGCGUAAAGCGUGCGCAGGCGGCUUUGCAAGACAGAUGUGAAAUCCCCGGGCUUAACCUGGGAACUGCAUUUGUGACUGCAUGGCUGGAGUGCGGCAGAGGGGGAUGGAAUUCCGCGUGUAGCAGUGAAAUGCGUAGAUAUCUGGAGGAACACCGGUGGCGAAGGCGGCAUCCUGGACCAAUACUGACGCUGAGGAGCGAAAGCCAGGGGAGCAAACGGG
rnacentral:rRNA from 1 species